rnacentral:rRNA from 1 species
UAGGGAAUCUUCGGCAAUGGGGGCAACCCUGACCGAGCAACGCCGCGUGAGUGAAGAAGGUUUUCGGAUCGUAAAGCUCUGUUGUAAGAGAAGAACGUGUGUGAGAGUGGAAAGUUCACACAGUGACGGUAACUUACCAGAAAGGGACGGCUAACUACGUGCCAGCAGCCGCGGUAAUACGUAGGUCCCGAGCGUUGUCCGGAUUUAUUGGGCGUAAAGCGAGCGCAGGCGGUUUAAUAAGUCUGAAGUUAAAGGCAGUGGCUUAACCAUUGUUCGCUUUGGAAACUGUUAAACUUGAGUGCAGAAGGGGAGAGUGGAAUUCCAUGUGUAGCGGUGAAAUGCGUAGAUAUAUGGAGGAACACCGGUGGCGAAAGCGGCUCUCUGGGCUGUAACUGACGCUGAGGCUCGAAAGCGUGGGGAGCAAACAGG